UACGUAGGGUGCGAGCGUUGUCCGGAAUUAUUGGGCGUAAAGAGCUUGUAGGUGGUUUGUCGCGUCUGCUGUGAAAAUCCGAGGCUCAACCUCGGACUUGCAGUGGGUACGGGCAGACUAGAGUGUGGUAGGGGGAGACUGGAAUUCCUGGUGUAGACGGUGGAAUGCGCAGGAUAUCAGGAGGAACACCGAUGGCGGAAGGCAGGUCUCUGGGCCAUUACUGACACUGAGAAGCGAAAGCAUGGGGAGCGAACAGG
rnacentral:rRNA from 1 species